rnacentral:rRNA from 1 species
GACGAACGCUGGCGGCGUGCUUAACACAUGCAAGUCGAGCGGAGCGGCGAACGGGUGAGUAACGCGUGAGUAACUGCCCCCCUCUCUGGGAUAACAGUUGGAAACGGCUGCCAAUACCGGAUAGUGGGGGAUGACUCGCGUCAUAUCAGCUUGUUGGUGGGGUAGUGGCCUACCAAGGCGACGACUGGUAGCCGGCCUGGGAGGGCGACCGGCCGCCUUGUCCUGAGAUACGGCCCAAACGCCUACGGGAGGCAGCAGUGGGGAAUAGUGCAGCAUGGGUGAAACCCUGAUGCAGCAACGCCGCGUGCGGGAUGACGGCUUUCGGGUUGUAAACCGCUUUCAGCCAUGACGCGGUAGUUGCAGAAGAAGCACCGGCUAACUACGUGCCAGCAGCCGCGGUAAUUC